rnacentral:misc_RNA from 1 species
GAUGAAGAACGUAGCGAAAUGCGAUAAGUAAUGCGAAUUGCAGAAUUCAGUGAAUCAUCGAAUCUUUGAACGCACAUUGCGCCCGCCAGUAUUCUGGCGGGCAUGCCUGUCCGAGCGUCAUUUCAACCCUCGAACCCCUCCGGGGGGUCGGCGUUGGGGAUCGGCCCUGCCUCUGGCGGUGGCCGUCUCCGAAAUACAGUGGCGGUCUCGCCGCAGCCUCUCCUGCGCAGUAGUUUGCACACUCGCAUCGGGAGCGCGGCGCGUCCACAGCCGUUAAACACCCAACUUCUGAAAUGUUGACCUCGGAUCAGGUAGGAAUACCCGCUGAACUUAAGCAUAUCAAUAAGCGGAGGA